rnacentral:piRNA from 1 species
UGAUAAUUUUUACUGGGUGUCGAUGA